CCCUUAGAUGUCCUGGGCCGCACGCGUGCUACACUGACGCCUACAGCGAGUACUUCCCAGCCCCGAGAGGUGGCUGGUAAUCAGCAAUAGGCGUCGUGAUGGGGAUAGAUCUUUGGAAUUAUGGAUCUUGAACGAGGAAUGCCUAGUAAGCACAGGUCAUUAGCCUGCGCUGAUUAAGUCCCUGCCCUUUGUACACACCGCCCGUCGCUCCUACCGAUUUCGAGUGGUCCGGUGAAUCUUUCGGACUGCGCGCGGCCUCGUGCCGUGUCGCGGAAAGUCAGGUAAACCUUAUCACUUAGAGGAAGGAGAAGUCGUAACA
rnacentral:rRNA from 1 species